AGCCGCGGUAAUUCCAGCUCCAUUGGCGUAUAUUAAAGUUGUUGCGGUUAAAAAGCUCGUAGUUGGAUCUGUGUAUCGGACGGUCGGUUCGCCGCUCGCGGCGUUUAACUGACCGGUCCGGACGUCCUGCCGGUGGGACCCGGUUCGCGCCGGGGCCCGUAACUCCCUCCGCGCUGCUCUUUACCGAGUGGUUCGGUGGGCCGGCACGUUUACUUUGAACAAAUUUGAGUGCUCAAAGCAGGCCUUAUGUUGCCUGAAAACUGUGUGCAUGGAAUAAUGGAAUAGGGCCUUGGUUCUAUUUUGUUGGCUUUCUGAACUCGAGGUAAUGAUUAAUAGGGACAGACGGGGGCAUUCGUAUUGCGACGUUAGAGGUGAAAUUCUUGGAUCGUCGCAAGACGGACCGAUGCGAAAGCGUUUGCCAAGAAUGUUUUCGCUAAUCAAGAACGAAAGUUAGAGGUUCGAAGGCGAUCAGAUACCGCCCUAGUUCUAACCAUAAACGAUGCCAGCCAGCGAUGCGCCGAAGUUCCUCCGAUGACUCGGCGCGCAGCUUCCGGGAAACCAAAGCUUUUGGGUUCCGGGGGAA
rnacentral:rRNA from 1 species